rnacentral:rRNA from 1 species
GGGAUUAUUCAGUCGGGAGGUCGCGGACGCAGAGUGUGGAAUGACCAGAAUGGUUCUCCGGACGGGGCCGUCCACGCCUUGCGCUUUCGUGCCACCCGACGCAUUUGUUUCCCGUCCAGAGGACGCCGCAACCGGUUGGAGAACGGCCUUAAGGGCAGACGAUGGCAGGUGGCCGGUGAUCCUUCCCUCGGGAAGAGUCUGCCGGUUGUUAGCCGGUUUCUGUCGCACGGCUCGUGAUCCGACCGUGGUGUCGCGAGACCCCUCGCGGGUCUCUUCGCCUCCUCCUUUCGCGGGAAGCCGGGAAUUGGCGGCACGGUCCCUCCCCCCUGCGGGCGCACUGACUGACUCAGUGGCCCAGCUAUCGGGAGGUCCGGUUGGUAGCCUUUUACCCGUUGGAGUGUCGGCGGUUAGCGGCGAGUAGAUCGGUCACCCACCCGACCCGUCUUGAAACACGGACCAAGGAGUCUAACAUGUGUGCGAGUCAAUGGGUCUCGAAUAAGCCCAGAGGCGCAAUGAAAGCAAAGGCCGGACUUGACUUCGGCUGUGUUGGGAUCCUCCUCUUGUAAAAUGGGGGAGGCGCACCAACGACCCGUCCCAUCCGAUUUAUCGGUGGGGCGGAGUCUGAGCAUACACGUUGGUACCCGAAAGAUGGUGAGCUAUGCCCGGGCAGGACGAAGCCAGAGG